UAACAGACAUAACACGUGAGCACUCGCGCUGACCUUUGUUCUAAUUAUGUAAAAACAAGUGAGUUAUUUUCCAUAAUUCUUAGGUUCACUUUCAAAAAUACGAUUGUCUUUGUCCCCCCGCCCCCCGCCCCCCGCCUUUGCGAAGCCUGAUAAAGACACCAAGUAAGUCAAGGCCCAACACACAAAAAGCUAUAGGUACACCUAGAGAUGGAAGCCAACUAUACAAUAAACGCCUCUGCAAGGCCUCUCUAACGGCUGCGGGCUCGUUUUUAAUAACCGCUUCGUGCAGCAGCAAGUCGUUCUGCUGGACCCUGGACCGGCCCUCCAUCUAGAACACGCA